rnacentral:rRNA from 1 species
UACGAAGGGGGCUAGCGUUGCUCGGAAUCACUGGGCGUAAAGGGUGCGUAGGCGGGUCUUUAAGUCAGGGGUGAAAUCCUGGAGCUCAACUCCAGGACUGCCUUUGAUACUGAAGAUCUUGAGUUCGGGAGAGGUGAGUGGAACUGCGAGUGUAGAGGUGAAAUUCGUAGAUAUUCGCAAGAACACCAGUGGCGAAGGCGGCUCACUGGCCCGAUACUGACGCUGAGGCACGAAAGCGUGGGGAGCAAACAGG